ensembl:lncRNA
CUUCUGCAAACAUUGAAUUUGUUUGAGCGAUGUUAUGAAAGGUAAUCCAUCACACGGUCUGAAUUGAAUAGCGCACGUAGGAAAACGGAGGGACUCGUUUAAUCAAUUUCCGGUACGGGCAUUUUUUCAUUCCCAUUUUAACAAGCUCAGCACCCACCAUGAACCAUCUGUACGACAGUAAGUCAAAGGGCAUCUGCAGGAAGCCACAGCAGCGAGCAGGAGUUCAAUCAUCGAGGGAGAGCUAGCAUGUCGAGCAUUUAGAUGCUGUUGUACACAGUCGCCGGGUCAUGGAGCAAUGUACUCAAAGGAACAGCAGAGGGCGGUGUUCAACAGGAUAUGGAAACAAUAGUUUGACAGAUGUGGAGGAAAACGCCGUCCCGUCAUGGAAAGUCCGACCCGACGCUCCGAAGGGGGGAAGCAGGCGUCUCUUCAAAGAGUGAGACAUCACUCAGCCCAUUUAAAAAAGCAAAAAACAAAACAGGUGCAACUCUAAAGGAGACGCUUUGAUUUAUGGCCAAUUGUGGACAUCCUUGUUGCGUCACUUAUUUUCGUGGGACUCCUCCUCUUUCCUCCGACGGGCCAGAAGAAGCGGCCCAUUACUCACAGCAGAUAACCAGAGCUGUAGACAUCACACCAAUUACCCGAAACCUCAAAAGUUCUCAAGUCAUCCAACACACUUAGUUCAACUUCUCCCAAACCCGCUAAUGCCCCUCGCCGUCCAAAUCACCGAGGGCUUGCCCCCCAAUUAGCUGCCUCCCGUGACACCCUGACGCCGCGCCGCAUCGGGAUUGUGCUUCAGCUUCAAUUACUUCUAAAGCCCUUCAGGCAGAGGUGAUGGGUCUCCCCCGCCCCUCGGGGCAGCUGUCUCCGCGCCUGUUCUUCUUUUGAUGGGGGGGGGGGUGUCAGAGGACGGUCCGGCGUCGUGUCUCAGGAACGGGAGAGACGAGUGCUGCUCCGAUUUAACUUGACGGAUGAUCACUAAGAUAAAUAACGUGAAUUAUUCAACUAAAGCCAACAUCAUAACUAAAUCAGUUCAGUGUUCUAUUUAUCUCGCAUCUCAGUCUUGAAUGGAUCCAGGCCGGCCGGGUUCUUCCUCUCCUGUCCUGUGAUCAUCUUCGUCAUCGGCCCUGCAGAUGUAACUGGGAUGUCCCUUUUUAGGACUCUAAAUGUCGUUGUGACAACGUAACAUAAGAGUUGAUGCGCAGUCUAACUAUCAGUGCUGAUUAAUUCAUCCAGCAGCUCGAUGGAGGAAUCCUGAUGAUCAGUUUCAAGGCAUAUUAGCUGAAAUAAAGCCCAUUUAAAAAUCGACUCUUC